rnacentral:rRNA from 1 species
UACGUAGGGCGCAAGCGUUGUCCGGAAUUAUUGGGCGUAAAGAGCUCGUAGGCGGCUUGUCACGUCGGGUGUGAAAGCCCGGGGCUUAACCCCGGGUCUGCAUUCGAUACGGGCUGGCUAGAGUGUGGUAGGGGAGAUCGGAAUUCCUGGUGUAGCGGUGAAAUGCGCAGAUAUCAGGAGGAACACCGGUGGCGAAGGCGGCAUCCUGGACUGGUCCUGACACUCAGGAGCGAAAGCGUGGGGAGCGAUCCGG